AAUACUACACAUAUAUUUCAUACAUUCCUGAGUUGUUAAACUUUUUCUUUGUUGUCUGCUGGCCUUCAUGUGUCAUCUGUGACUUCCACAAAUUCCCCAAAUUCCCAUGUAAUUUCUUAUGCCAAACUUCGAUAUAUCAAAACUAUGAUGGGAAAAGUCCCAAUGUGGAAGGGAUAACUAUUCCUUUUUCUUGGGAUGUGGAAAGUCAAUUUACAAGGUCAUUUAAGAAAAUCUUUCGAUCAAUAUGGGUUUAUUUUCUCUCCUCUUACCUCACUCUCUAAUUUAAAGGAAAAACAAAACCUUCCUAGCAAAUAUACGCAAUCAAGCAAAACAAAUGCCCACACUGACCAUGUUUAAAAAUGUGUGCCUCCGCAUCUUGUAUCUAUAUCUCGAUCAGGGGCGGGUCCUAUCUGUGCUCCUCUAGAAUCAUAUUUGGUCACUGAAUUAAUUAGAGCUCUUGAGUCUUUCCAAGUACAAGGUUCUUCUCAUUCUGCCAUACUUUUGUGAAAAUGAAGAAGUUUCUGUUUUGGCAAUGGCAGUAGUCCUAUGUAUCCGAUAUCCUGGGUAACCCUUUAGUUUCUUGCCAAGGAAUACAGGCUAGACAGGUAAGGAUGGCAUUUUAGUGAAGCCCAUUAAGCCUUCAUAGCUCAAAUCUGCAUUCAGAUUUCUGAAAUACUUUGUACAGUGUGGUAAAGUCAUAUUUACCAAGUGCCUUCCUCACUGUACUCCUAUGAGGGAGGUAGUAAAAAUCUUAUUGCCAUUUUCCAGAUGAAGAAACUAAGACUGAGAGAUUAAGUAACUUGAGACAGGGCAUCCAGCUAAGAAGUGUUUAAAUCAGCACUGCUACACCUCAAUCUUGCUAUAGAGAUGUCCCAGAGAUGGUCAUAUUUGUGCAAAAUAGUAAUGAUACAUUGAGAGACCAUUCAGCAUGGAGGACAGGAGCUGGUCUUGGCAUCAAGAAUCCAGGAAGACACGGAUUCAUCUUUCCUGUGAUACCUACUGGCCAGAUGAUCCUGGUGACAUGAGUUAACAUCUGAGUCAUCACGAGGAUACAGCAUGGGCUUGGAGAUAGAGAUGACUUCUGAUGCCUUUCAUCAUUCAAAAGGUGAUCGAAAUGUACAUUGAAUGUAGGCUGUUCUGAGAAUGUGAAGCCUUGAAGCAACAAGAAUGCUUAUUUGUUGUGGCCCAGUGCCAAAGGAUACAGGCUAGACAGAUGAGCCAACCAGACCAAGCAUUGA